rnacentral:rRNA from 1 species
ACACCGGCGGCCCCGAGUGGUGAUCGUGAUUAUUGGGUCUAAAGGGUCCGUAGCCGGUUUGGUCAGUCCUCCGGGAAAUCUGACAGCUCAACUGUUAGGCUUUCGGGGGAUACUGCCAGACUUGGAACCGGGAGAGGUAAGAGGUACUACAGGGGUAGGAGUGAAAUCUUGUAAUCCCUGUGGGACCACCUGCGGCGAAGGCGUCUUACCAGAACGGGUUCGACGGUGAGGGACGAAAGCGUGGGGGCAC